rnacentral:rRNA from 1 species
GGCCUAACACAUGCAAGUCGAGCGAACAGACGAGGAGCUUGCUCCUUUGACGUUAGCGGCGGACGGGUGAGUAACACGUGGGUAACCUACCUAUAAGACUGGGAUAACUUCGGGAAACCGGAGCUAAUACCGGAUAAUAUUUCGAACCGCAUGGUUCGAUAGUGAAAGAUGGCUCUGCUAUCACUUAUAGAUGGACCUGCGCCGUAUUAGCUAGUUGGUAAGGUAACGGCUUACCAAGGCAACGAUACGUAGCCGACCUGAGAGGGUGAUCGGCCACACUGGAACUGAGACACGGUCCAGACUCCUACGGGAGGCAGCAGUAGGGAAUCUUCCGCAAUGGGCGAAAGCCUGACGGAGCAACGCCGCGUGAGUGAUGAAGGUCUUCGGAUCGUAAAACUCUGUUAUUAGGGAAGAACAAACGUGUAAGUAACUGUGCACGUCUGACGGU